UACGUAGGGGCCUAGCGUUGUCCGGAAUUAUUGGGCGUAAAGAGCUCGUAGGCGGUUCGGCAAUCCGGAUGUGAAAUCUCCACGCUUAACGUGGAGGGGCCAUUCGAAACUGCUGUGACUCGAGUCCGGUAGGGGAGUGUGGAAUUCCCGGUGUAGCGGUGAAAUGCGCAGAUAUCGGGAGGAACACCAGUAGCGAAGGCGGCACUCUGGGCCGGUACUGACGCUGAGGAGCGAAAGCGUGGGGAGCGAACAGG
rnacentral:rRNA from 1 species